GGACGCCCGCUGGCGGCAUUCUUAACACAUGCAAGUCGAACGCCACGCAAGGGGAGUGGCAGACGGGUGAGUAACGCGUGGGAAUCUACCGUACCCUACGGAAUAACGCAUGGAAACGUGUGCUAAUACCGUAUACGCCCUUCGGGGGAAAGAUUUAUCGGGGUAUGAUGAGCCCGCGUUGGAUUAGCUAGUUGGUGGGGUAAAGGCCUACCAAGGCGACGAUCCAUAGCUGGUCUGAGAGGAUGAUCAGCCACAUUGGGACUGAGACACGGCCCAAACUCCUACGGGAGGCAGCAGUGGGGAAUAUUGGACAAUGGGCGCAGGCCUGAUCCAGCCAUGCCGCGUGAGUGAUGAAGGUCUUAGGAUUGUAAAGCUCUUUCACCGAUGAAGAUAAUGACGGUAGUCGGAGAAGAAGCCCCGGCUAACUUCGUGCCAGCAGCCGCGGUAAUACGAAGGGGGCUAGCGUUGUUCGGAAUUACUGGGCGUAAAGCGCACGUAGGCGGAUAUUUAAGUCAGGGGUGAAAUCCCGCAGCUCAACUGCGGAACUGCCUUUGAUACUGGGUAUCUCGAGUAUGGAAGAGGUGAGUGGGAUUCCGAGUGUAGAGGUGAAAUUCGUAGAUAUUCGGAGGAACACCAAUGGCGAAGGC
rnacentral:rRNA from 1 species